rnacentral:rRNA from 1 species
UACGUAGGGUGCGAGCGUUAAUCGGAAUUACUGGGCGUAAAGAGUGCGUAGGCGGUUCGUUAUGUCUGUGGUGAAAGCCCUGGGCUCAACCUAGGGAUGGCCAUGGAAACUGGCGGGCUGGAGUAUGGCAGAGGGGGGUGGAAUUCCACGUGUAGCGGUGAAAUGCGUAGAGAUGUGGAGGAACACCGAUGGCGAAGGCAGCCUUCUGGGCCAACACUGACACUCAUGCACGAAAGCGUGGGGAGCAAACAGG